GCAAAGGAGCCCAAGUGUCAGGGCGGCCAGCUGGCUGCGGGGCAUUCCAGCUGCACUGUGCGUCCACUUGCGCUCUUUUCAUCCGAGCUGUUCACGGGCACACAAGUCAAAGGCUCAGCUGCCUGUGUGCUUCUCGAAGGAUGACAACGCUGCAAUGUUCCGGAUGUCCUAGCACAACUCACUAGGUAUUUAUUGAACUUGAUAUUUGUUGGUGUGUAUAGUAGGAAUGGAUAUCUGAUAUUUCCCACAUAAAGAAAACCAACUCUCCCUGGACCAUUUGUUGGAUAAUUCAUUGCUCCUGACUAAUUCGUAAGGACACAGAUGAACUUUGAGAGUCAUAAGCUGAAAGAGGACGAGAUUGGGUCCCCAGGUCCCUGAAACUAGAAGCAUCCACAUGUGGAAGUUAGACGAUUGCUUAUGUAUGUCUUCUAACAGGUAUUUGUGGAGUUGUUGAGAUAUAUAAACUACCAUACUGGACCCUGGAAGCAGUGAGAAACAAAUAUGAGUCACUGUCUUACACCUUCUGUUCUCCAAGUUCUUAAAUUUUAGAGGCUAGAUCUACUCAAAUACAUCAUGUGAAAUAGAGUAUGAUGAACACCAAGAGUUGUACAGUAAUAAAUGAUGUGGGGACUUUGUUCAGAGAAUGGAUACAGGGGCUUGAGUGGCAAUUGGAGGAGGUUUCGCAGUGAAGGAAAGAAUUGGGAUGGAGUUUGAUAAAAGAAAAUAUCUGGUGUCUUUGAGACAAGUUGAAUAUCCACAGUCAAAGCCAACAAAACAAGGAAGGAUGAUUUAUGGCAAGAAGGUCUCCAGACUCUCCCAGGGGAUCUACCUGACCCAGGGAUUGAGCCCACUCUCUUACAUCUCCUGCAUUGGCAGCCACUCUAAAUUUUGAACAAUGUGGUAAAUUAUAAUGAAAUCAAGCACGUGAGAUGACAAUCUCUACCUGAAAGCAGACAUCUGGAGGAAACAUGAAAAUCUCUGGCAGUCAGGAUGCAGAGACUUGGCUCCGAGUAUGCAGAACAUCUGGAUUUCUGUGAAUUGAUUAAUUUCCACCCUCUUCCACUAUUUUGGCUUCAUCCAGCCUUGCCUUUUUCUAGCACUGUGCAAACACUGCUAUCUGUGUACAGAGAGGAUUUUUUCCUACCUGUCUCUACUUCUCUAUAUAGUAUACCUGAUAACAGACUAUUUUUACUUGAUUAUAACCUAAACUAUUGCUUGUAACCAUCAAAAAGACAGAGGAAAAUAAAGACUUGUUUGUAUUUAGUGU
rnacentral:lncRNA from 1 species